rnacentral:misc_RNA from 1 species
UAUAUUAUAAUUAUUGUUGUGAUGUCAUGCGAGGUACCGAAUAUUUUCAAUCCUCUUUUCACUUUUGUAUUAUGAUAGCAUAAUCUUUUCGUAGAGAAUCGACGUUAGUGCGACGCCUCGCUGCCCUGAUGAAAAACAGAUGGAAACGAAAAAUAUGGCGUAUGAUAUAAUGACAUGCCCGAUACCUUCGCCGAUACGCGCGACUGUAUUUCCUAAUAUAUCGUCGUACAUAUAUGUAAUUCGGCGAAAUUCGGCGCAACAGAAUCACCAGAUCAGCUGUAUCAAGUAAAACGGCGAGCCAUAGGCGCCAGACACUCCACCGCUAAUAUCCACAUUUGACGCGACAAAAAGCGCUGCGUGAGAACGCAAUAAACGCUUAAAAAACUAGAACGAAGCUCUACGACACGGAACGUCUUUUCCCUCGAUACCGUCAAGGGACAUAUGUGAGAAGUUUGAAGUGCGUCAUUAUUAAUCCACUGCGUGUUUCAAUUAAAACGGUGACGAUUGUAAAUAGCAGAGUCUGCUAAGGAAGCUGCUCAUUAACACCUAUCAAUCUUGCGCCAAGGUUCUCCACACGUGAAGAUCUUUAUCAAAUUGUCAACAGUGCACGCGCAUAAGGAAAGCGUCAUUAAGAGCACAGGUAGAAUUAAGCGGCAUUUCUUUUCGGCCUCCGUUUAUACGAAGCUUUAGAAAUAUACGUGAUAAGAUCCACGAUGACUUAAUGAAAGCGCAGAGAACGUUACGCGACGUUCCGCUGCAGUUGUCGGACUCACACUUAUCUCCCGUUAAAUUUCGUUCAAGUUCAGUCGCACAAGUGUGGAUAGUGGAUUUGUUGAUUCUUGUAAUAAUCACCGUUGUAUAAUCACUCGAAUGAUGUCCACAACUGCAAAAGUUUCUGGAGUUGACGCGGAGUGCUUGCAGUCGACGGAGCGGAAAUGUCGUUUUAUGCCGAUAUUCGGCUGGUUACCACGAUACAAUCGAACGAAAGCUAUAUCGGAUCUCAUUGCGGGUAUCACUUUGGGUCUCACUAUGAUUCCACAAAGUAUAGCUUACGCUGCACUAGCCGGCCUGACAGCGCAGUACGGCCUGUAUUCUUGUUUCGUGGGCGGUUACCUGUACAUUAUCUUCGGCACCGUCAGAGAAGUCUCAAUCGGCCCAUCGUCUCUAAUGGCCCUUUUAACGCUACAGUAUACACGGGACAUGCCAAUAGAAUUUAUAGUGCUCCUGUGUUUUUUGGCUGGAUGCGUGGAGCUCUUGAUGGGCGUACUAAAUUUAGGAUUCUUGGUGGAUUUUAUAUCAAUGCCGGUAACGUCAGGUUUUACCUCAGCGACGUCGAUGAUUAUAAUCAUUGCCCAGUUACAAGGCCUCCUAGGAUUACAGUAUAAAUCAGCUAAUAUUGUCGAUAAUCUGUACAAAUUGUGUGCAAAUAUCGGCAACACCAGGCUACCCGAUCUCGCUCUCGGUAUCUGUAGCAUCUUGUUCCUUCUGCUUUUCAGAAGUCUGAAAGACAUCAACUGUCCUUGCACAGGAGACAAGAGAAAUCCUUCCAAAAACGUGCUAAUGAAGAAAGUACUGUGGUACUUUUCGAUUGGUCGGAAUGCUAUUAUUGUAUUCAUAACAACCACGAUAGCCUAUCAACUUGAAACUACUACAGGAUCUGCACCUUUUAGACUGUCAGGGAAAAUCGAAUCCGGCCUGCCUACCAUAUCGCUACCGCCCUUUUCAGCGCAAGUGGGCAAUCGAACUUACACAUUCCUUGACAUGUGCUCUCAUUAUGGAUCGGGCAUUGUCAUACUUCCUCUCAUAUCGGUCUUGGCGAACGUAGCGAUAGCUAAAGCAUUUGCAAAGGGUGCUAACGUCAACGCUACGCAGGAAAUGCUGACGCUCGGUCUUUGCAACAUAAUUGGCAGCUUUGUAUCGUCAAUGCCGACCGCUGGCGCAUUUACGAGAAGUGCUGUCAGUAGUGCCAGUGGCAUACAAACAUCUAUGGCUGGUUUAUACUCCGGUACCAUGACGUUACUGGCGUUGAGCUUCUUAACACCGUAUUUUUAUUACAUUCCACGCGCUACACUAGCGGCGGUGCUGAUAACCGCUGUGAUAUUCAUGAUCGACCUGAGGAUCAUAAAAUUGCUCUGGAAAGGAUGCAAAACCGAUGCUGUCGCGGUGGCAGGUACUUUUUUAAUCUGCAUAUUUGUCAACGUCGAGAUUGGAUUGCUUCUGGGUAUUGUUUACAAUUUAGUUUUCUUCAUUCGGCCAUCCGCAAGACCGACGAUUCAAGUCGUCCAUCGCAAGAUUAGCUGAUUUCAUUGUUUAAAGAGUGCUGUGUUAAAACGAUAUCGGUUUAUACUACGCUAUGAACUAUAAAUGGCAGAAACGACUACAUCAUCGAUUAUCAUGACGAUAAUAUGAUUAUUUCUUUGGUUACAACCCCCCGCAUAUGUAAUGAACUUAGCAA